AGCUCCUCCUCCUCCUCCUCCGGU
rnacentral:sRNA from 1 species